GUCCUGGGGCUUAUAGAUGUCUGGUGCUCAAAAACGAAUCACUGCUUUGAAGAGCUGCUUGAACACUGCACAAAGACUUUGAUGCUAAAUCUGCUUACCACAUCACUACAAAAUCUCACUACAUCUGCAACAAUGAACUUCGGCCCUUGGGGGAUGAUGAAUCCGAUGUUUAACCAGAUGGUGGCUUUUCGGUAUGGACCACAGCCAUAUUUCUGUAAUGGUAACGUACCUUUCGGUGGGAUGCCUUGUCCACAGAUGAAUAUGAUGGUUCCAUCAACCCCAUUCCAAGGUGACAUCAUGCCUUCCUAUCCAAAUAAUGGCCACAUAACUCGCUAUAUACCCGAUACAGGAAAGGGUGCUCGCAAACAAACAAUAGUCUUUCAGAAUGGCGGUGUUUUGUAUGUUGAAGAUGUCAAAUAUAA